AUGAUAGUUAAUCUUUUACAGGUUGGGUGUUAUUUUGUUUUUGUGCUUUAUGACAAGGUUGGAUUUUGUGAAAACCUAUUAUGGCUCUUCUCCUGUAACAAAGUCUUCUCCUCCAACAUCAUUUCUCUUUUAAAAGAAAUAUUACAGAAGGAAGUUUGCGGCUCACUUGCUAGUAAUGGUGGCUGUAUCUUGAAAUCAUAA